GUUGGCGUCAGGUAUUCUGCGAGCGCCUUCCAGCGGUCGUGGUCGAAAUGUUCUCGGCUUUUGGCUCCUAAGGAAUUCCUAGAAGCCCACAGACCACGGGGAUUUCUGCAAUUAACCUGUGGUUACUCCCAGAUGAAAUCACACAAGGAAUGCUGGAGUCAUCGUUCCACGAAUCACCUGGACCUUCUGUGCAGUCAGGGCAAGGCAAUGUUUCGGGUUGAUUAGGGAUCGUCUCUCAUAUUGCAGUUAUAAGACUUCGCGGAAAAGUUAUUUGUAUUUUGUCUGUGAGCUGUUUUCUAAAUGACUGUUGAGGGAAAUCCGUGCUUCGGGGAACCAAAAUAAACUUGGUUCUCGGAGGGAAAAUCUAAUGGGAAAAACGCGUGGUAUCUACUUCUUGUUUGAACAUUGGGUGUAAAUUAUUCUGUUUUAUUCUGGUUUCUAGAGGUAACUCCAGGUCUACUAUCUUUCAUCUAAAAUGCUUCCCAGUUAAUAUUCAAUGAAUAUCUGGUGGGGACUAUCAAUUUGUACAAGGCACAUAAGGGUGGAGGUACCUUGAUGAUAAAGGGAAAAAAC
rnacentral:lncRNA from 1 species